rnacentral:misc_RNA from 1 species
GAAAUGCGAUAAGUAAUGUGAAUUGCAGUAUUCAGUGAAUCAUCGAAUCUUUGAACGCACCUUGCGCUCCUUGGUAUUCCUUGGAGCAUGCCUGUUUGAGUAUCAUGAAAUCUUCAAAGUAAAUCUUUUGUUAACUCAAUUGGUUUCUACUUUGGUAUUGGAGGUCUUUGCAGCUUCACACCUGCUCCUCUUUGUUCAUUAGCUGGAUCUCAGUGUUAUGCUUGGUUCCACUCGGCGUGAUAAGUUAUCUAUCGCUGAGGACACUGUAAAAGGUGGCCAAGGUAAAUGCAGAUGAACCGCUUCUAAUAGUCCAUUGACUUGGACAAUACUUUUAUGAUCUGAUCUCAAAUCAGGUAGGACUACCCGCUGAACUUAAGC